CCUACGGGAGGCAGCAGUGAGGAAUAUUGGUCAAUGGACGAGAGUCUGAACCAGCCAAGUAGCGUGAAGGAUGACUGCCUUAUGGGUUGUAAACUUCUUUUAUAUGGGAAUAAAAUGUUCCACGUGUGGGAUUUUGUAUGUACCAUAUGAAUAAGGAUCGGCUAACUCCGUGCCAGCAGCCGCGGUAAUACGGAGGAUCCGAGCGUUAUCCGGAUUUAUUGGGUUUAAAGGGAGCGUAGGUGGAUUGUUAAGUCAGUUGUGAAAGUUUGCGGCUCAACCGUAAAAUUGCAGUUGAAACUGGCAGUCUUGAGUACAGUAGAGGUGGGCGGAAUUCGUGGUGUAGCGGUGAAAUGCUUAGAUAUCACGAAGAACUCCGAUUGCGAAGGCAGUUCACUGGACUGCAACUGACACUGAGGCUCGAAAGUGUGGGUAUCAAACAGGAUUAGAUACCCCAGUAGUC
rnacentral:rRNA from 1 species